rnacentral:lncRNA from 1 species
GGUUGCCUGUCAAUCAGACGGGAAAUUGAAGUUUGCGCAAGCAUGAGCUCAUCAUCCCUGAUGAUCAUUUUUCCUGCAGAAAGAUGAAGAAAUUGAAUUUUUCAGGCAAAAAUUUGCUGGAAGCCAAACUGUUAGGAUUAUAAAAGCAGAAGCUGAAGCAAAAAUAAUGGCGAAACAGGUCAACGACCUGACAGUUUCAGGUUUGCUCACUGUUUCCUGCGGGAUAUUACGUUAGCUUCCCUUGACCGCACAAUUUGCCGCGUGAUCUUAUUUCCUGUCAUUUUCCAUCAUCACGUGUACAAUGCCUUAUAAUUCUUCCUCCUCUCUCCCUUGGUGUAUCGUUUCUGUCAUAUUUUCUAGCUAAGGCUAAGAUUCGUCUCCCUUCUCGUUUCUCUUUCCUUUCUGAAUUCGACGCCUUCUUACCCCCCUUAGCUUCUGGAAGGGUGGUUUCGCCUCAGUCAUCUGGCACACGGAUACUCCUGGACCCAACUUGCCAUUUAUGCCAAAAAUUAUAAAUUUCUGAGUGUAUCUGUUGGGGUGUGGGAUAAUUGUUCAUUGGUAAGCUGUCAUUUGGAAUGAGAAGGAAUAUUUUGAGAUUCUCU